CCUACGGGUGGCAGCAGUGGGGAAUAUUGGACAAUGGGCGAAAGCCUGAUCCAGCCAUGCCGCGUGUGUGAAGAAGGCCUUCGGGUUGUAAAGCACUUUCAGUGGGGAAGAAAGCCUUGGGGCUAAUACCCUCGAGGAAGGACAUCACCCACAGAAGAAGCACCGGCUAACUCCGUGCCAGCAGCCGCGGUAAUACGGAGGGUGCGAGCGUUAAUCGGAAUUACUGGGCGUAAAGCGCGCGUAGGCGGUCUGAUAAGCCGGUUGUGAAAGCCCCGGGCUCAACCUGGGAACGGCAUCCGGAACUGUCAGGCUAGAGUGCAGGAGAGGAAGGUAGAAUUCCCGGUGUAGCGGUGAAAUGCGUAGAGAUCGGGAGGAAUACCAGUGGCGAAGGCGGCCUUCUGGACUGAAACUGACGCUGAGGUGCGAAAGCGUGGGUAGCAAACAGGAUUAGAUACCCUAGUAGUC
rnacentral:rRNA from 1 species